rnacentral:rRNA from 1 species
AUUGAACGCUGGCGGCAGGCCUAACACAUGCAAGUCGAACGAGAGGCGGACGGGUGAGUAAUGUCUGGGAAACUGCGUGAGGGAGGGGGAUAACAACUGGAAACGGUAGCUAAACGCGCAUACCAUCCGAUGGGCCCGGUUGGGAUUAGGUUUUUGUGGGGGUAACGGCGCACCAAGGCGACGAUCCCUAGUUGGGCGGAGAGGAUGACCAGCCACACUGGAACUGAGACACGGUCCAGACUCCUACGGGAGGCAGCAGUGGGGAAUAUUGCACAAUGGGCGAAAGCCUGAUGCAGCCAUGCCGCGUGUAUGAAGAAGGCCUUCGGGUUGUAAAGUACUUUCAGCGGGGAGGCGUUACCCGCAGAAGAAGCACCGGCUAACUCCGUGCCAGCAGCCGCGGUAAUAC